UAGAUCCUGGAGACCUAUUUUUGGCUC
rnacentral:piRNA from 1 species